rnacentral:rRNA from 1 species
UGGGGAAUAUUGCACAAUGGAGGGAACUCUGAUGCAGCGACGCCGCGUGAACGAAGAAGGCUUUCGAGUCGUAAAGUUCUUUUAUAUGGGAAGAUAAUGACGGUACCAUAAGAAAAAGCCCCGGCUAACUACGUGCCAGCAGCCGCGGUAAUACGUAGGGGGCUAGCGUUGUCCGGAAUCACUGGGCGUAAAGGGUUCGCAGGCGGAAAUGCAAGUCAGAUGUAAAAGGCAGUAGCUUAACUACUGUAAGCAUUUGAAACUGCAUAUCUUGAGAAGAGUAGAGGUAAGUGGAAUUUUUAGUGUAGCGGUGAAAUGCGUAGAUAUUAAAAAGAAUACCGGUGGCGAAGGCGACUUACUGGGCUCAUUCUGACGCUGAGGAACGAAAGCGUGGGUAGCAAACAGGAUUAGAUACCCUGGUAGUCCACGCUGUAAACGAUGAGUGCUAGGUGUCGGCGAAUGUCGGUGCCGCAGUUAACACAAUAAGCACUCCGCCUGGGGAGUACGUGCGCAAGCAUG